rnacentral:rRNA from 1 species
GACAAACGCUGGCGGCGUGCUUAACACAUGCAAGUCGAACGGAAAGGCCUGUCUGUUGUGGGGUGCUCGAGUGGCGAUCGUGUGAGUAACACGUGUGUAACCUGCCCUGUACGUGGGGAUAUCUGUAGGAAACUGGGGCUAAUACCGGAUAGGAGCUGUGGUGGCAUGGUGGGGGUUGGAAAGUUUCGGCGGUUGGGGAUGGACUCGCGGCUUAUCAGCUUGUUGGUGGGGUAGUGGCUUACCAAGGCUUUGACGGGUAGCCGGCCUGAGAGGGUGACCGGCCACAUUGGGACUGAGAUACGACCCAGACUCCACAGGGAGGCAGCAGUGGGGAAUAUUGCACAAUGGGCGGAAGCCUGAUGCAGCACAGCCGCGUGCGGGAUGACGGCCUUCGGGUUGUAACAAAAAAUCGCCUGUGACGAAGCGUGAGUGACGGUAAUGGGUAAAGAAGCACCGGCUAACUACGUG